rnacentral:rRNA from 1 species
AGAGUUUGAUCAUGGCUCAGGAUGAACGCUAGCGGCAGGCUUAAUACAUGCAAGUCGAGGGGGAUCAGUUGGGUAGCAAUACCUGGCUGUGAGACCGGCAAACGGGUGCGGAACACGUACGCAACCUUCCCAAAACUGGUGAAUAGCCCUCCGAAAGGAGGAUUAAUACACCGUAACAUAACGAGAUGGCAUCAUCUUGUUAUUAUAGCUCCGGCGGUUUUGGAUGGGCGUGCGCCUGAUUAGGUAGUUGGCGGGGUAACGGCCCACCAAGCCUACGAUCAGUAACUGGUGUGAGAGCACGACCAGUCACACGGGCACUGAGACACGGGCCCGACUCCUACGGGAGGCAGCAGUAAGGAAUAUUGGUCAAUGGACGAAAGUCUGAACCAGCCAUGCCGCGUGAAGGAUGAAGGUCCUCUGGAUUGUAAACUUCUUUUAUCUGGGACGAAAAAAGGUCAUUCCUGACCACUUGACGGUACCAGAGGAAUAAGCACCGGCUAACUCCGUGCCAGCAGCCGCGGUAAUACGGAGGGUGCAAGCGUUAUCCGGAUUUACUGGGUUUAAAGGGUGCGUAGGUGGGUUAGUAAGUCAGUGGUGAAAUCUUCGAGCUUAACUCGGAAACUGCCGUUGAUACUAUUAAUCUUGAAUAUUCUGGAGGUGAGCGGAAUAUGUCAUGUAGCGGUGAAAUGCUUAGAUAUGACAUAGAACACCGAUUGCGAAGGCAGCUCACUACGGAAUCAUUGACACUGAGGCACGAAAGCGUGGGGAUCAAACAGGAUUAGAUACCCUGGUAGUCCACG